rnacentral:lncRNA from 1 species
UAGGCUUUUCAGUCACAGCACCCUCUGUGACAAACGUGUGGAGCACCGCACGACUUCUUCAACCAGCUGGUUUUUCUGGCAUUCGAAUAAAAGUAAAAAUAGAAAACAAAGAGGGAGAAGAAAAGUGACAAGCUGAAACCUGCGAAGAGAAAGAGGACAAGAACCUGUAUGUACCCAGUGGUGUGGAUAAAUCGUUAUGUAUCUGCCUACGCAUUGUCAGAAAUACAGCAGCCUAAGUAGCCAUUCAAGGAAUUUAGAGUAAAGUACCAUGGUCAGAAUUCAAGAUAUAGCCACUACAGGAUCUGAAAUGCCAUCUGUUCCAACCGCACGACAUCCCCAUUCAGCAGGCUCACAAGGCUGGCAUAGACAGGAAGAGGGACCCCUCUGUUGUCCUCUACUCUCUUCUUCAACUGAGCAAUGAGCAGAAGAUUUAAGUUUGGGAUUUUUUCACUAUUUUUCCCAAACGCAUGAACAGGUUCUUCUCAAACUGCAAGAGUCGAUUCAAAAUCCAGACAGCUUUCACCACCCAAGGAUUCAGGGAAGUGUUUAUUUCUUUGUCUCAGAAUCUCUUUAAACAUGGUAAGGACAAAGUCAUAAGAAGUGUGCAUGGUAUAGAAUCAAAGUACCUUUGGCAGUGAUAUAGGUCUGUUCCAGGCACCUACAAUGACAAAUUGUAAAUAGCCACGUCCAAUAAGUUUAUGCGUAACCUUACCUGACUUUUCCAUGGAACUCCAUUAUAUAACUAGAAGCAUUUCUCCACAAGCGGAAAAAAAAUGGAACCAGAAGAGAAACAAAGCACAUUUGAGCAUACAAUAAAUAAUGAUAUGAUGAAAAGUCAAAGGGAAAUAAAGGACAUUUGAAAGGAAUAAAAAAUCACAGAUGGGGAGAAAUGAACAAGUUGAUCUGGUCUUGAGGGAGGAGGAGGCACAGGAACACAGUAAAGGAACCUAUCUGAGGAGCUGCAGACAUGAACCAACAAAGGUCAAACCCCACCUGGAAAAUGAAUUGUGUCCAAAUGAGACCCCUUUAAUGACAGGAUUUGAAACAAUCUCAUUAUGAAACAAUUGCAGUCAAUGGGAAUCCUGAGUCUUCAAGGAAGUAAAAAGAAAAAAAAAUCUCUGUUAUCCUCACAUAUUUAAAGAUUCUCAUAUAAAAGCUUCUCCGAAGAGAACAGCUUGUCCUGUUUAGCUUCAAAGAAGAGAAUGAGGAGGAAGGUCGAGGGAAAAUUACAGAAAAGCAGACUUUGACUUGACACGUGGAAGGACUUCUCACUAAUGCUAUUCCCAAAUACAAUGAGUUGUUUCCGUGAUUGGAGGACUUGAAGAUGUAUAAGUUAUCCACAGGGAUGUUGCAGAGGAAAUUUGACCAUCAUAUGGGUGAAUUAACUGAUAUCUAUGAUCUUUAUUUCUCCUGAGAGUCCAUAAAAGUGAGAUAAUUGUUUGGAAAUUUGACGUAUACCUCUUGGAAUCUGAGGAGCAUGAAGAUCAGUGUAUGACUCUUGCCUGAAAUCAAGGAGAAAGGAAAACCCUGUCAAUGGCACAAAUUUCCAAAGUUUGGGAUGACAAGGACAUGUGAGUUUUUCGCCAGAAGAGCCUGAAGCAAUACUGCAAGUGGGUGCUUUGGUACUGCUUUGAAGCAUCUUUCCAGACUCUGCAGUAGCCAAGGCCUGUGACUCCAGUCCCUGAGAAAGUACCAUCAGGAGCAAUACGUAAGCUUUUCAGGGACAAAGAACCUUGUCCUCUUAAUCUGGAUUCACAAUUCACAAUUAUACCCCUAGCCUGCCCAACGCCUUUUUCUCAGUCUCUGAGAAGUAUUGACUCUCUUUUACCUAAGAGCAGGAGUCGGAGUCCUGUCCAUCUCUGAAAACAUGCUGCUGAUGUUGGAUUAAUAGUUAGACAAACAACUAAGAAGAUCAGAAGUAACAUGCUACUUUGGGUGUUGCAAAAUGACUGGACGCUACCUGUCAUCAAACCAUAGUUUACUCUCCACUUCAACAUAAAUCAAUAGCCUGCUUUUACCUCAAUGAUCAGUUGCU